GGAUCGAUGAUGACCACCAAAAUGCUUCCUUGGAAACUGAACAGAAUGAUUGAGAAACCCUUACGUCUCCUCAUCGUAACUGACGGUCC
rnacentral:snoRNA from 1 species